UGUCAGAAAUUGAAAAAAAAAACAUUGUUAUUGUUAUUCUCUAGUACCAUAUUCGGUCUGAACUGGUUGUUCAAUAUUCCGGAUUUAUUUGUUACUUUCCCGGUUUUACGCCCUAUCGGUAAGAUUAAUACGAUAAGAAUCAACCUACGGAAGGGUUCUGUAUGUGUCGCAGCUACUAUAGGAAGGAAUAAACCAGAGAGUGCCUGGUUCACUUUGUGGCCUCACUAGUUCCCGUAUUUUGCCCAUUUGCCAAGUGAACUGCUUACUUAUCGCAUGAUUGAUGGAUCUCUCGAUAGAAGAGCGAAUAAGAAUAAUUUCGUCGACAAAUAUUGCAGAAUGCAAGCUUCAAAUCUACAACAGCGAACGAAUCAUCAGUUUACCGGUAUUGAACCAAUCGGAACCUGGAGGACAAUGUUGAAAAUAAAUGGAAACUGUGGAAGAAGACCAACUAAAGUGAACUAGUUUCUAAUGCAAAAUUUCCGAUAAAUUAUAUGAUGCAUACAAAAUAAAAUAUGGCCUAAUAAACAAUAAUUAUGGAAGUGAUUAACGAA